rnacentral:tRNA from 1 species
CCGGUGGUGAAGAUCUGGGAUACUUCGCCUGUUAAGCGGGAGGACGCGGGUUCAAAUCCCGCCACUGGA